CAGUAGCCGCGGUAAUACGGAGGGUGCAAGCGUUAAUCGGAAUUACUGGGCGUAAAGCGCGCGCAGGCGGUCUGACAAGUCAGAUGUGAAAUCCCCGGGCUUAACCUGGGAACUGCAUUUGAAACUGUCAGGCUGGAGUCUUGUAGAGGGGGGUAGAAUUCCAGGUGUAGCGGUGAAAUGCGUAGAGAUCUGGAGGAAUACCGGUGGCGAAGGCGGCCCCCUGGACAAAGACUGACGCUCAGGUGCGAAAGCGUGGGGAGCAAACAGGAUUAGAUACCCCUGUAGUCCCUGUCUCUUAUAC
rnacentral:rRNA from 1 species